rnacentral:rRNA from 1 species
AUUGAACGCUGGCGGCAUGCUUUACACAUGCAAGUCGAACGGUAACAGGUCUUCGGAUGCUGACGAGUGGCGAACGGGUGAGUAAUGUAUCGGAACGUGCCCAGUAGUGGGGGAUAACUACUCGAAAGAGUGGCUAAUACCGCAUGAGAACUGAGGUUGAAAGCGGGGGACCUUCGGGCCUCGCGCUACUGGAGCGGCCGAUAUCAGAUUAGGUAGUUGGUGGGGUAAAGGCCUACCAAGCCGACGAUCUGUAGCUGGUCUGAGAGGACGACCAGCCACACUGGGACUGAGACACGGCCCAGACUCCUACGGGAGGCAGCAGUGGGGAAUUUUGGACAAUGGACGCAAGUCUGAUCCAGCAAUGCCGCGUGCAGGACGAAGGCCUUCGGUUGUAACUAGCUUUGUACUAGAACGAAAGG